AUAUCAAUAAGCGGAGGAAAAGAAACCAACAGGGAUUGCCCUAGUAACGGCGAGUGAAGCGGCAACAGCUCAAAUUUGAAAUCUGGCCCUUGCGGGGUUCGAGUUGUAAUUUGUAGAGGAUGCUUCGGCGUUGGCCCCGGGCUAAGUCCCCUGGAACGGGGCGUCCUAGAGGGUGAGAGCCCCGUACUCUCCCGGGUCCCCUUCGCCGUGCGAAGCUCCUUCGACGAGUCGAGUUGUUUGGGAAUGCAGCUCCAAGCGGGAGGUAAAUUUCUUCUAAGGCUAAAUACCGGCCAGAGACCGAUAGCGUACAAGUAGAGUGAUCGAAAGAUGAAAAGCACUUUGGAAAGAGAGUUAAAGAGCACGUGAAAUUGUUGAAAGGGAAGCUCUUGCCGCCAGACUUGCCGCGGUUGCUCAGCCGUCCCUCCGGGGCGGUGUGCUCCUCCGCCGGCAGGCCAGCGUCGGUUCGGGCGGCCGGAUAAAGGCCCCGGGAAUGUGGCACCCUCCGGGGUGUGUUUAUAGCCCGGGGUAUAAUACGGUCAGCCCGGUCCGAGGCACGCGUUCGCGAGGACGCUGGCGUAAUGGCCGCAAGCGACCCGUCUUGAAACACGGACCAAGGAGUCUAACGUCUGUGCGAGUGUUUGGGCGUCAAACCCACGCGCGUAAUGAAAGUGAACGGAGGUGGGAACCCCCCCCAGGGGCGCACCAUCGACCGAUCCUGAUGUCUUCGGAUGGAUUUGAGUAAGAGCAUAGCCGUUGGGACCCGAAAGAUGGUGAACUAUUCCCGGAUAGGGUGAAGCCAGGGGAAACUCUGGUGGAGGCUCGCAGCGGUUCUGACGUGCAAAUCGAUCGUCAAAUCUAGGAAUAGGGGCGAAAGACUAAUCGAACCAU
rnacentral:rRNA from 1 species